AACGAACGCUGGCGGCAGGCUUAACACAUGCAAGUCGAACGCCCCGCAAGGGGAGUGGCAGACGGGUGAGUAACGCGUGGGAACGUACCUUUCGCUUCGGAAUAUCCCCGGGAAACUGGG
rnacentral:rRNA from 1 species